CACGUAGGGUGCGAGCGUUGUCCGGAAUUAUUGGGCGUAAAGAGCUCGUAGGCGGUGUGUCGCGUCGGCCGUGAAAACCUGCAGCUUGACUGUGGGCGUGCGGUCGAUACGGGCAUCACUGGAGUUCGGCAGGGGAGACUGGAAUUCCUGGUGUAGCGGUGAAAUGCGCAGAUAUCAGGAGGAACACCGGUGGCGAAGGCGGGUCUCUGGGCAGUAACUGACGCUGAGGAGCGAAAGCGUGGGGAGCGAACAGG
rnacentral:rRNA from 1 species